AGAUGUUUUGAUGAACUUGAUUUUUUUUUUUUUUUCUAAGGGAAAAUGUUCUGUUGGAAAGUUUGAGAACAGCCACAAGGACCUGUGCAUCUUAUUACAGCUCUCCAGUGGUGGUUGCUGGUUGUUUCAAUUUAUUUGCUUAAUAUGAUCUGGAUAAUGCAGACAUCGUGACUGCCAUCUUCAAUCACAAGAAGAGAAUCUUUUACAAAAAUCUAUAAUGUAGUUUAUGAAAUGAACUGUUACUGCAAAUCAGAAGAAACAUGCUGUAAACUGUUUUACUAUGUCUCAAAUAUGAGAUUUGAUUGCUGUAUCGUUUGAAGGAACAGUACUACGUGAAAUAAAAUGUGUCAGACCAACACUUCACGAAUUGUGGUUCCAGAUGCUGGUUGAAUUUCACGUGCAAGGGAUCCACGUGACUUGAGCUCCAGUGACUGUAUUUUCUGCUCUCCUGUGGCAUGUGCAAAGGAUCAUCCUUCACUGGUUUAGAUCUGCUCUUGAGAAUGUUUGUGCGUGGUGAAUGAGCUUGCAAGUAGGCCUCCAAGGAAUAUGCUACAGCUGUGAAAGCUUUGGCAUUCAUACUCAAGGUCGUCUUCCUUCACACCAAGCUGUUUCAUCAAACAGGACUUACUAGGAUUUCCUCUAGCCACUUCCCAUAGGGACCAGUUUCGCACAUGCUUCUCACCACCUGUUAUAACAGGCUGGGGCAAGGGGGGGCACUUCAGUUCUUUAAAGCAAACCAGAUUUUGACCAGUGGGAGAGGGGAGAGAUGCAAACAUCUGCAGAGCGCAAGCAAGAUUCUCAAGAUUUUUCAAUGGAAGGUAAAAGGAAAAGGAGAUGGUGGGAAGCCGCUUCACACCAGGGAGGCUGGUAUUUAGCUUCAGUUGUUUGCUGAGAGCUUGUGCCUUUGACCUGUUGAUUAGAUAACUGUGGCAGUAGCAGAAAGCUUUUAGAGGUUUGGCGAGUAUGGUAAGAGGGUGGUUGUUCAGAGCUGUCACCAUGGAGGGAAGGAAAGCAUUCAGAAACACUAAAUGUGAACACAGUCGAGCAGGUACAUGCUGCUAGAACAAUGCCUGGCACUGAGCUUUGUCGCAGGAAACCAGCUUUGGUGUAUCAGCUUUCCAUUUGCAGUUGCUGUUGCCAGAGGGAGGGAGAUGAGAGAAAUGGUCUGUAACAGCAGAAAAUCUGAUUUAUUUUUUAAAAAAUACAGGCCUGGGCAAUUACCAGUCUUAAAUGUACUUAGCACUUUUGCUUGAAGGUAAAAAUGUGACAUACAAGAGAGAAGUAGGGACGUUGCAGGGAAAAAAGCGAAAUAAAUAUAAAUGUUGCAGUAGCUGGGUUCAGUGUUUUGCAUGCAAUCAUGAAAUGUAGUAGCAGCCCAUGUGUAUUGUGGAUGAUUGUGUAUUAUGAUUAAACACUGAGGUCUCAACUGGCAAGAGCAAGUUGCCUUAGCAAAAUAUUUUGUGCAGCCUACACAGUAGUAAGCAUUUUACUAGCAGGAGUGAGAAACAAAUCCCUUUGGAAAGAGCCAUUGGAUCUCUCUUUCCUUGGAAAAACUACAGGAAAAUUUUGUCCAGACUGUUAGAUAUGUCAUAUAGGUUUUGCUGCCAGUGUGGAGGUCUGAUCCAAAGUCUGUACAAAGCCUAGUACUUUCAGUAGACUUUAGUUUACUGUGAUGAGUAAUCUGAAAAGAGAGGAGGCCUGCAAGUGUGUAGGAGAAUCCUGUGGCUGAAAGAAGUGACUGGUCUGAAGGAUGAGAGUAACACUGAACAGGGGUCUUCUGGAGGUCAGGAAAGAGUCUUUGAAGAAAGAUCAGAGCAGAAUGAUAAUGUGAUAGUAUUAAUUUCAGGUGAAAAGAGUACUAAAACAUGCAGUGGGUCCAUCUUUCCAACAAUAAGCUGGAAAUAGUGCCCCUUUAGUUUAAAAUUAAUUUUUCUUGGGCAUAACCAAUAUUAUAAAAGAUUUGCACUUCCUGGGUCUGCAUGCAUUUAAUCACAAGUUGAUUUAUGUACAUGAGCAGUUCGCAAGGACCGUGGCUUGUUAGAUCUGAGUGUAGGUGUUUGUGUGACCUAACAACGUAGCACCUGUAGGAGAAGUAGGAAGAGUUUGAAGGAACAUUCCUGCUCUGUCAAAGGCAAGGUGUUUCUGCUUUAUGGUCGGUAGAACUAGGCUGGAGUCCAGUUGGUGAACUGACACAGAACUGAAGUGAUGGUUCAGUUUCUGUAGGACCGUGUCUGUGUGCUAAGACUGGUACAGCCUCAAGGGAGUGAAAAGAUGACUGAAGAAUGUUUAUACAUUCCCAUGGUGACCUUUAGUUUGGAGGUAACCAGCAAGGUGUUUUUAAAUAAAACAGACUUCUAUAUUGUUACAAUUAAUUUUUUCCUCUGGUAGCAUUUCCACUCUUACAGUUUAAUCCAAAAUAUUCUUGGUGGAGAUCUGCGGUAUAUUUCAGUGGUCUACUCUGUAGGUUAGAAUCCUAAGUAUAUUUUUUGCCAAAAUUUGUUAGGAACACAAUUUUUAAGUAAGAUUGUGAUUAUAGGUACUGCAUGUUACAUAAUGGAUUUGUAAGGAGUACGCAUGUGUAGCCAGGACCAAGUACAAGCACAGCUCUCUCAAACCUCUCAAGAUUCUGCGUGGUACAUGGAGCCACGUGGAAGGAGAGUUUAUAUGUAACCACUUUAUGCCAUGCCUGAAAAAAUGCAGCUGAAUUGUUGUUUGUUUGGUUUUUUUUAAUUUAAUGUAGUUAUUGCUAGAGGUCUUUUGCAUUUUUAUCAAAGCCAAUGAAAUGGCUAAUAAAAUCCUUUGACCCCUAUAAUAGUCUUUUACUGAUCUUUCAAGCUUGUUUUUGCUGACUUGUUGCCAUUGGUACAUGGGAAGUACAUGGGCAUAUAGUGUGGUUUGUGACCCUGUGAGCUCUGUCCUAUCACAGACAUUAAGGAACUGCUAACAACAGAGUGUAAUUCACAUUCUUUCUCUGUUUCGCUGUAUGUAUCUGUCUGGAGACUGAAAAAUUUUAGGAGAAUUCAAAUCAGCUCCAUUAUUGAGGUAAGAAUGUUGUACUACCAGACACUGUGUGUUCUAUUUCUUUACAGCUAAAGGUAAAUUAUUAUUUUCUGUGGAAACCCCUUGUCUCUCAUACCUCACUUGAGAGAAUGUCUUAGUCUUGAAAUUAAGUUUGUCAUAAGAGUUGUUGAUGAAAAUUAUGUUGUGACUUGGUCUUCAAGCAAACUAAACAAAAGACAUCAAGGUUGAAAAGCAUUGCUAUGGUUACGUUAUUUAAAGGCAAUUGUUAAUAAAGGAGAGAAAAUUGGAACUGAGAGAGGCAGUAACUGCAAAAGCAUAGAAAAGGUUAGACUAGAAUUUUUCAUCAAAACUUGAUGUGAGCUUACUUCAUGUUAUGUUCAUUAAAUAUCCAUUUUAAGGCUGCCAUCUUAACCCAAAGGAUAUAGCUAGGAGAAAUCUAACAAGAAGUUUAGGUUUUAGAGAAGGGCAGCAUUCAUGUUUUGAAUUCCUGGGCUAAGGGGACUGGAUGGAGUCCAGUUAGGCUUUAGAGUGGGAGGUUUUAUCCCUUCUUUAGGUUUUUGGGAAGAGAUAAUUAGUUUUAAAAUGGUUGCAGUGUGCUUUUAAAAUCACAUAUGUUCUGAUUUUGCUUCCCUGUUCUUUAUCAUGGUGCAUUACAUAUUCGCAUGGGACCAGAACCUUAGAAGCAAGGAAUUUGGGCUUCAGCUGCUAGCAUGAUUUAAACCCCAAGCUUAAAUAUUUUAAUUGAAGUCAGCUAAUGUAUAGCUUCUAAUCCCAGGGUAGAAUGUUGGCUUUUUAAAAAUCAUAAAUAUGCCCACAGUCCCUGAAAUUGAGAGAACACCACGCACUGGUGGCAUGGUUUGUGGUGACAGCAGCUGUCUUUGCCUACACAAAGACCCCAGUUCAAAUCUGCAUAGAAUGUUUUUUAGCUACUUCCUUUCUGGGGUAAUAUUUUUGAGUUCAGAGGAAUUAGACCAAAGCUGACUGAUGGCCUCCAUUUAUGUGAAAAGUGCUUGUUUACUUUGAAAAUGUAGGUUAACUGAAUAUCAGCUUUCAAAUUAGCCUACUUUAUCACUUAAAAGAGAUGUUUUUCAAUUAAAAUAAGAAGAUAUUACAUACCAAAGGUUACAGAAACAUGUUCUUUAAAAAUUAAGUUAAAUUAGAAAUGACAUUUCCUCUUCUAAUAUUGAUGUUGUAGCUGAGAGUUAAGCUAUAAAAGGAGUCAAUUAAAUUCUCUGCAGCUUUGCUGCAAAAUCCAAAUUUAAAUUACACAAUAAAGGCAUCAUAUUAAUGCUGGCAGUUUCAGACCACUCGUUUCUAGAACUAAACUGGGGCAAAAACAUUCAUCCAAACCCACAUCUGUCUAAUUAAUAAAUUCCUAUGAUGUCAAGAUUUAAAUAUGAACACGUCAUAGGUUCAGUCUUGGUGCCAGGUUUCUGACACUGGAAGGUUCUGAAGGGCUGUUAGGAAACCGGAGUGUUUAUUAGUAUCAAAAAUGAGCACAUCAAAUGUGCUGUACCCCUUUGCCACGAGGUUUCUCCAGUGAAUCACCAGUGCUUCUUCCUACUAGUGCUGGUAACUUGUCUGUGGCCACCAACCUACGCCAGCGUAUUCAGGAGUCUUUAGAUUUGGUUGAUCACACUUUGCAAAGAGAAAUCAGGGAGCACUUUCUCUGGGUUUAGACUUAUCCAGGGAAGAAAGAUUACUGAAUAUUGGUAUUUUUUAUUAGUUUAUUUAAACAUAGUGACUUAUGAGAUUGUGACUGGAUUCUAAGCUUUUGGAUGUAGGUCCUUGAGGUUUUGAAAAGCUAGCCCCAGGCGUGCAGGGAAGCGGGCAGUGUAAGCAGCAAGUAUUCUCUAGCUCACCUCAUACUGUCAAGGCUGGCUGUGAGGGAUGUGUAGGAGCAGGGGAGGCUUCGGCAGCCUUUUUGGGGCAGAGAAGCCCCUACAAGGCUGCAGCUAAAACAAGUUAUCUGACUUGAGAGCACAAAUCCUUGAUGGUUCAAUGGGACUUAAGCUCCCUGUGUGCUCUAAGGGUUUUGAGAACUUCCCCAUCUUCCAUGCUUUGCAGAUACUUGUAGGAGAGGUGUUGUAGUGUUACUGUAGGUUGGAUUAGUGCAGCAGAGUAUAAUCUUCGUAGUUUUUCCCUUUGCAAAAUGGCAGUGGAGGCUCUUCUAGCUGAGGAUGAGGAUGUACAGAGUAGAGUUGGGAGGCUGUUAGGCCUUGUGGUCAUGGGAGUCGAAAGUGCCCCAACAGAUGAGCAAAAUGUUUUAUCUGGUUUCUCCCCAACGGUUGCUGCCAGACUUUAUUCUAAGGCUCAUCUGUGACCCUGACUCCUGGAGUUUGCUCAAGAACUGCAUUUUAUAGCUUAAUCUUUGCCACUUGAUGAUUUAGUGAAGAUUUUAAAAGUAGUAUACUGAAGGUUACUCUGCUUGGAAAUGGUUAAAAACUGCAGAGAACUAUCUUUCAAUUUAUACAUAUAUAUUAAAUACCUCCUGCAUUCUCUCUGUGCUUUCCAAUAUGGCAGUAUUUUGUAAGCAGUCUUUGUGUCUCCUCUGAUCAUCUCUGCAGUAGUCAAGACCCAUCUUUUUACCCUCACAAUUGUGCAGACCUAGGAGGAAGAGGAAGUGGUCUUUGUCCUAAAAAAUUUAAACGCUCUGAAAAAUGGUGAUGAAAUAGAAAAGUGGUGUUAAUUUCAAGCUCCAUUAGAAGCAAAAGGACAGAUAUUUAUAUCCAUCUUCUGUGCUAUACUUUGGACCCUUUGGUAUUUUGUUUUAGUGUGGUGGUUAAAUAUUGGAAUGAGGAGUGCUUCAGGGGUCAAAGAGGAGAUGGGGAGUGAGUGCUUGUUAAAUAAAUGUUGACAGGAACCUCACAUUAAACUUAAAAAAAAAACCCUAAGUUCCUAUUGCUGUAGCGCCAGCAGUACAUUUGAGGGAUGCGCCUCCCUCCUCUGGCCACUUUAUGAUCAAAAUGGUUUGGUUCUGCAAACCGGUUAUGCUGGCUGGCACCUUACUUGGUUAUUCCUGCCCCUGCCUUAUGCAAAACGUGUGCUGAAAAGGGGAGUAGCAGGACCUGGCCCGUGCCAAGGGCAGCGAUGGGGCAUGCGGUGCAGCACGCUCGGUGAUGCCUUUCUCUACCACAGAAUCAGCAUGAAUCAACUCAGGAGGAGGAGUUGCUGCUGCUUGGGUAACUACACCUCUGAGAGUCUGUACAAUGCGGAGCACACACACCUCCUCAGAGCCCUAACCAGCUGCCCUGGCCCCUGUGCUGGGGAUGCCUGGGCUCCCAGCUGAGUGCUCCACCUCCCUUGGUGUCACAGCGCCUGCUCUUUUAACACUUCAGACAGCACUGAGCUGAGGCUCCUGACACCACAUCUUUCAUUUUUUUACAGGAUGUUUGUUUUAUGUAAUGUUUGUCUCCAGCAGCUUGACUUCUGUUGUUUGUUUAAUGCAGUUCUGAUUCCCAUUCUAACAGUUUUCUAACUUACACUGUGAGUGAGCUAAAAAGGAAUAUUUAAGAACAGUGCUAAGAUGCUUUCUGCUGCUCUGUGCUGUUUUGAAAACCAGCUGUGCAGUGAAGAAUAUGACUGUUCCUGAUGAGUGUAUUAGUUUAAAUCCAAACAUUUAACAGGUCUGUGCUAGCUAUCUGACCUGUAAUCUAAACUGAUGGGGUUUUGCCCUAGGGCCACCUAACCACUAUUCUGAAGUGUUUUAAUUGUAACGUGUCUUGGAUAGCUAGCUUGCUAUUUCUAGCAGUCUGUAGAAGCAGAGGAUUUGGUUCCACUGAAACUAGUAAUUUACCGAAGCUGAAAGUUAAUCUGAUCCUAUUUGUAGCUGGCAUUCAUAUAAAUCAUUUGGACAACUUUGUGCAAGGCCUGCUCUUUAUUCCCUAUUUAUCCAGUGCCUACCCCAGCAUAAUCCUGAUCCAUACCUGCUGUCUCCUGAUGUUAGUGCCUGACAGUGUUUAAUCCUAAUGAUGGGCCUGACACGUUUCGCAAGCAUACAGGGCAGAUCAAGCCUGUGGAGCUGUUACUGUGAACAUCUUUGCUGGCAGAGUUGUGUCACCCGACAGUAAAAGAGGUGUUCACCUAGCAAAAUACAAGUACUUGUUGAACUUGCACUGUGGAGAACAAUAGACCAGCCAAGUAAAGCAAAUGCAGGGGAAAGAAACAGUAAUUUAUGCUAUAGUGGAGAUGUAUAAUACAGGUGUAUACAAACUUAAUUAGUGUUUCCAAAUAAUAUGUUUAAGUGAUUUUUUUUUUUCUUACAAAGAAUCUAAAAAUGCUAAUGCAGCUAUAUAAAUUCAAUUUUCCCCAAUAUAAUGGUUGUUAUAAACAAAAGCAUAUUUAAUCAUAAAAUGUUUUGCAACAGUGAGUGAAUAGUAUGCUUUCCAUUUUGUGUCUAAGGAAAACAAAGACACAAAGAAAUACACAUACUGAAUCUGGGUUUGUCGCUGUUGUGCUAUGAGAUACGAGCAUGGACAUCACAGGUAGUUCUCUUCUGGAGUCUCACUCCAUGAAAAGCCCAUUUUGAUUUCAAGGGGACCAAGGCUGCUACGAGGCGUUGGCAGAUUUGUGGCAAUGCUGUCUGGCCCUGCUGGAUGCAGUUUCAGCUAAAAUCACAGCCAGAUCCCAAACUGGCUGUUAAAACCACCUUCAGCCGGCCCUUGUUUUCUGCCUCUGUUUUGCUGCCAAUGCCUGUCUAAGCGGGCAGCUUCUCUUCACAUCACCUUUGCUACCCAGUGUGGUGAGUGAGGCCCUGACCUGGAAGUCCCUGAUCCUGGAAUAAGUUGCUGCUGCUGUGUUAUGCAAAAGGAGUGACCUGGAGGAGUGCUUUGAGACUGAUGCAGUAGCGUCCUGGGGUAGGACAUGGAGCUGAGGGCAGCAGGGUUGAUGGCUUUAAUGUUUGCACAUAGUUCAGGUGCAGCCAGAACUGUACGUCCACAUUUUUGCAAAGGUCUACCCCCUGAUUUUAUUUCCAGUCUCUUUUUUUGUGUGUGAAAUGUGAUAGUGAUGUGGUGCUUACCUCACUCAGAAAAUGCCUUCAGUUUCAUAAAUGAAAAGCCUUUUAUAGGGCUGUUGUAUUUUGUUUUUUUCUGGGAAAUCAUAACUCAACCAUGAAAUCUCACUGUCUUCUGUUGCUAGCUUCAAUCUCUUGUGCUUUGCUCAACAGGAAUUCCCCUUGCUUCCCCAUGUAAAAUAAACAUAAUUUAAAGUCACUUUGUCUUUUUGAAUUUUGAAGUUAAAUCUUACCAUAGCAGUGUCAUUGCAGCUGUGAUUUAGAGAUGUGUUUUAAAGAUGUAAGAAUGGCAGCUUUUACAUUUACAUUUAGCUCUCAAAUUUUGCAGUAUACAGAGAAACAGAGAUAGUGGCUGUAUUUUCAAAGGAAGAUGAGCUAUUGAAUUAAUUUUAAGAAAAUAAUGUUAAUAAAAUCUGAUUUUUAAAAAAAUAUUUGGAGAAUACUAUAUACAGUGGAUCUAAUAUGCCAGUAGAGAGAAUUUUCCUCUCCCUUCCUCUGUCUUUGGUUUUUAACCUACCUGAGGAUGUUCUGUGACACAGCCAGCCAUAAUGGCACCAGACAUUAUAGUCUAUUGUGUUAAUAAUCCGUGAAUUAAAGCAUCCCCCAGCAAGCUCUUAAUGUGAUGGAUGGUAUCAAUGAUGUGUGGCUAAAGGGUCCCCAAGCAGGCACUGCCACCGUAGACCAAAGCAGUUUGGAAGGUCUAUUGUUGUCAGUGAUCCGCUGAUUAUAGGACAUACCUGGAGGAAGGGUGGAGCGGAGGCAGAGGGAGGCUGUGAACAGCAGCUUAAGCUCUGUCAGGUGUCAGGGCUGCCUGUUACAAAUGGAAAGCUGGCAAGAAAAGCGUGUGCUGCCUGGGAUGAACUCAACAGCAGGUUCUGGAGAACUUCCGAGGCGGGUGAGGGUGCUCAUCAGAUUGCCAGGGAUGAGGAGUGGGAGACCAGAAUACUUAGAAUCCUCUUGACGAAGAAAAGAGUAAGUCUCAACAUUAAAAAUAGAUGCUUUUUAUCUUGUAUAUGAUACAAAAUCUCUUGUGAUAUGAUAUUUUUUUAUUAUACUUGAGCAGCUCUGAGCAGUCUUAGAUUAGGCCUGUAUCACAACAGUAAUACACAGGAGGCUAUGUUUUGUCUUGCUACGACACCAGCUACUAUUGUUUUUGAUCUGCAGCCUCUGAAGAGGGAUGCUGCAUCUUCUAUGGAAGGUGUUAUGAGUGCAGAUUAGUUAGACAAGUGCUGGAGUGAAUGCAUAAGUAGUGAUUUUGCAUAAUGAGGUAUGUGAAAUCCCAGUGGAGGUUGUUAAAACAGAUAGACAGCCUGUGGUAAACAACAAGGAAGGUAGGCUUUGAAAACAGAUGGCUUUGAAAACCUGGCAAAUGACUGUUCCAUACUUAAAAAUCAGUUUUGUUAGUGGAAAAUAUCUUAUUUAAAAAAAAGAAGAAAACUGAAAAAGCUUAGCCUGCAUAUUUUCAUAAACCGGAAUGUGCUAAUAAAGUUCUGUGGGUAACCAUGUAUCAUUUGUCUUUCCUGCUGUAUGUGUGUCUGAAUGGUGGAGGCGGUGGACUGCAUGUCUUGAAACGUUCUGCAGCGAUCCAUCAGGCUGUUGCUUCUACCUGGCAGACGUGUUGGUCUUCAUUAUCACUUUGACUGUCUCUAGGUGUGCACUUUCCAUUGGGAAAUUAAUCUUGCAAUCAAAGGGUUAAUUCAUCGUGAAAGAUAAGAGUCUGUAAGCGAAAUGGGAAUAUAGAGGAAUAUUCCUGCUGGGUGGAAAGGGCGCAGAGAGGCCUGUUGCCACCUGAGAUACUCUCUAGCUAAGGUAAGAGCUGGCCAGAAGAUGAGGGUCUGUUUCGGAGCUUUCAAAUGCACCUGUUUUCCGUGGGUUUAUGCCUUUGGCAUAAGCAGGAGGAGGUGUGAUGCUGGGAUCAGCCUCUGCUUCCUUUGGUCCCUUGUAGGUCACAUCAGCCGGGAAGGUGCUGGUGAGCUGGCCGUGAGGCACACCACCAUUUCUGGUGUAACCUGUCUGGGGCUGGCGCUCUGGAUUCUCCUGCAGAAUAGCUGCAACUUAAUUUCUAUAGUAUGAACUCCAAAUGCAAUAGUUUUUGCAGUAUUUCCAGAAGCUCAGCUUGGGGCGCUCGCUCUCGGAGCACUGACACUGAUGCACUCAAGGUGACUGUUAAAGAUCUUCCCCCAUGGCCUGAACUGAGGAUAUAAGGCUAUUUUAGUAGAAUAAUACUUUUCGUUCUUUUCCAAUGUAACCUCUAAAAGCAUUCCUGUGUAGGUGCAAGUUACUCUACAGCCUGUGGGUAAAGAAAAUGUCCUUUUCUUAGUUAUUUUAGUGGCUCCCUUGGAACAAGCCCAUAGGUGCCCAGGGCUCUGUGGACUUGAUUGGAAGGUAGUGCAAGUGGUCUGAUUCCUUUUUGAAAAGGAUCACAAAUGCAAACAGGGGAUUCCUCGGUCCCUAUCUGCUGCUGGAAAAAAGGCAAGUGCCUAUGACUUGGGAAUAAGAGAUAGGUCAUCCAGUGUCCUAAGAAAAAACUGGGGACACGGGGCCUUGUUGAGCACUUGCCCUUGCAUGCUGGUGCUGCCUUGGCCGAUCGAGGAUGUGCAGUCAGCCAGAGUGAUAACCCCAACAACAAAGCUUCAGUGCAGGGACGGCAGUUCGUGUACUUAAAUCCUGGGAAUCUGGGGGAGGAGGACAGCUCUGUACUGAUUCUCAACUCAUUAAAAAUAUGCUGUAAAUGGGACUGCACCUGGGAGAUUGGCACAAACAGUGUUUGGCACAUGGCUUGGGCCAGACUCCCAGGAGUGGGAGCCAAGUGAUGCUCUGAACAUGGGAAGUGUCCGUGUCCCCUUUGCCCUCUGGUUUGCAGGGCCACUGCUGGGGACAAGCCUGCUGAGACUGGUGAUGACAGUGGAGCUGGGGCAGCUGUGGGAGCAUGGGCUCUGCUUUCAUUUACAUUAGGUGGGAGAAAUAGGUGUUUAGAAAGUAAGAGAAGCAAAUUUUAGCCACUUCAUCUUUCUUCUCAUAAAUUAAAUGAAGUACUUGCUGAGUAGCUCAUUUCUCAAGGUACCAAGUACAGCUGUUGAGAAUUUUUGCCAUUAUGUUAUUUUUAAUCAAAAAACGCUGAUUAUAAAACUGGAUUUGUAGGCAAGAGAAGGUAGUGGAUUUUUUGCAGUAAUUUCCUUUUUUGAUUAAUUUCAGUGUGCCCUUUUUUAACGUUCUCAAAACAAUAAAGUGGGCUGCUUUGUUGUCAUUUGACAUUGUUAUUAACACUUAAGGCUAAAAGUGUUGGUUUUGGUUGAAAGAAAAAUUAAAUGAUUCACGUGGUCUUUUUCUUAAGUUUUUUUUUUUGAUUCCUUGACUUUAUCUGGAUUUUUACUUUUAGCCGUGUCUGCAGAUGGAGAUCACUGGGUGAGCAGCAGCUGAAAAGUCUUGCUUUCUGCUUGGAAAGAAACCUUUGCUACAUAGAGAUUGAUCAGAGCUGAGAGUUUCUGUUGCUUCUGUGGAGAGUUGUACGUUUUCUCUCUUACUGGGUAUUUGUGCCCAUCACUGAGGCAUUUCUAGAGCUGUGCCAGGCUCUGCAUGAUGCUCAGCAUCAUGUUUAAAAGCACUUCAGGUAAUGUAGUUGAAAACUUUCAACUGUUGAUUAUUUUUGUACCUAAAUAAGAGUUGAACUGUUCUGAAAAAAAUCACCCAAGUGUCUCAAGUUCCAUUGUUUUCUAUGCUGCAACAAGAUUGUUAGAAAUGUCUGUUCUAGAUGUAUAAAGUUGUUAGAGAAUAAAUGAAAAGGGACAGUGCUGUCCUGACAUUAACAGGUUAAGAAAAAGCCAGACAUCCCUGCGCUAAAAUAUUCACCUGAUUUUUUUUUUUCUUUUUUUCAGCUGCAGGGAACCAGGAUAUUUUAUCUCCGACACUCUGCCAGCUCUGUAAUAAUGAAAACCAAGAUAGCAUUUCUCAGUCUUAGGGCUGCUGUUAGGAGUGUGUGUUGCACACGGGGGCAGUAGCACACCGUAAAGAUCCGCAGUGUGGUAAUACUGGCCGGGUUGAUUUAUGGGUGUGCGAUAUACAGUGGGAUAUUCAGUAUUUGUUAGCUGGCUGCAUGUUUGACAGUUAUUGGCAAGAAGUAUUAACUUACAUCCAAGUUUGUCUUAACUAAUAAGUGAUGAGCAAAGAGAAGUUUGUAUUUGCUGUCUUAAAAUGAUCUGUGACUCUUUAUCCUUCAGAGUUCUUGAUUCCAACUUUGACAUGUGACUGUUUUCAUCUGUUUAAAUGUUGCAGGUGCCAUCAGAAGCCAAAAGUGAAAAAACUGCUUUUGGGAGCAACAUGAAACCGUUCUUCUUGUGACUUGGAAUCAGCACUUGUAUUAAAUUGCCCUAUUUAAUCUAAGCUUUGUUUUAGGCUUUUUGAAUAUAUUUUCUGUGAUACAGUUAGUGGAAAGGUUGCUCUAUUUUUUUAAGGGAUAACCAAGUGCUUAAGUGCUUUGCUGGAUCCGGGCCAGAGCCAGCAUCUUGCAGAAUAGAGCCCGUGACAACUCAUCUCAUCCUAGAAUCUCAGUUUUCUUCACAAACUCCAGUAAACAGAGUGUCCUGAUAAGCUGCUGUUAGCACCUCUUGGAAGAGUGCUGGGCACAGCAGGUGUCUUGAGAGGAAUGCAAAGAGCUUUCUGCUCCAUUUCCAUGGAAGGCUCUCUGAAGAUGCAGCUGAUUUGGUAUUUUGCAGGAGAAAAUGCUUCCUUCACACGUGAGGCCCUUUUCCUAAGUGAGAAACUGUCCCCUGGGUCAAAUGUUGCAUAAACUGAGAAGAAGCAGCGUGUCCUGUCCUAACAAGGCUUGCAGG